GAAGAAGGUUGGGACAGUCUUUAUGUUCUUCAUCUUGGGCUGGGAUAAUUGAAUUUAAUUCUAACAUAUCCUCAGUGGAAAAUGCCCUUUUCCAGGAGCCCAUUGCAGCGUGUUCUGAUGGACUGCCUGCUCCUCUGAGUGCCACCAUCCAGCUCUGAGCUGGGUUUCAGUGCUUCACAGGGAUAAUCCUUAUUUCAGUUCCCUCUUCAGUGGCUCUUUGGCUUGGACAGUGUCUGAAUUAAUGGCAAUUUGGCAUCUUUGCUCAUUAACGGGCUCCCUCUGAUUGAUUUGUCCUGGCAGGUUCCCUGUGCUCCGUGUGUCACUCCCACCAUUCCAUUCCCUGCCUGCCGAGUGCUGGAUGAGGAUCUGGAGCCAACUGGAGCUUAAUGGGAUCUGCACCAUUUUUAAAGCAGGGGCCAGAGGAGGUUGUGCCUUUGGUUUCCAGGGGAUUGCAGCUUCUCCCGUGGAGGUGGAUCCUGUGAUGCUCAUGGAGGGUGGGAACACCUUGCUCUGGAUCUCUUCUUCUGACCAGCACAAGCAAGAACAAAGUCCUGGCUUCAAACAACUGGAGGCAUUAAGGGAGCUGUGAUGGGAAGAUGACACAGAAAUUAUGUGGUGCUGCUGCUGAGAUAUCUGUGAUUACAGCUGCCUUUUACACCUUCUGCAAAUCCCCACAAUCGCUGAGUUAUUUCCCUGCAAGGCUUUGGGAGGAUUAAAUUAAUUUGGUGGCGUGAGGUUCCAAGGAGCAGAAGAUAUCCCUGUGCCAAGAACUGCAAAGAGAACCUCACCUGAAGUCCAUCCCCUCCUCAGAAUCCUCCUUCCUGCUGCAGGCAUCUCAAUUCAAGUGUGUUAAAUACAGACCAAGGAGCUGCUGUUCCUCUGCACAACAACAAUCUGAAGGAGCUGAUGUGCUUGCAACUGUUUUUUUCCAGCAGAAUUAAACCUGAAUUUUGUGGAUGCUGAAAGUUAUGGACUUGAUGUGAGCAAUGAGGCAGAAUGGUAAUUUUUUUUUAGUACUUACUAAGCAGUGGAAAACAAGAUCUGAUGGAUGAACAGCUCUGUUUUGGAAUAAAUAUCCCAUUUUCCUCGUGAACUCUUGACCUCCCACAAAAUUCCUUGUUACGAACAUUGAGUUAUCAAUUAUAUUUUUAAAAAACUCCCUUCACACUUUGUGCCUUUAACCAAGAAACUUGUGGAAAUGUAGAAGCUUGGAAAUAAUGUUUUUAAUUUCCACCAUGGCUUUAAUGCUUCCCAAGAGGUUUUAUUUGUCACCACAGGCAGAACAUGCUCUUUGCUUUAAAAGAGUGAAGACAACUCUGGGUUCUAUUUAAAUAUAGGAGUUGCUGCCAUUAAA